rnacentral:rRNA from 1 species
CUAUGCGCCUUGCCAGCCCGCUCAGGUGUGCCAGCCGCCGCGGUAAUACGGAGGAUGCGAGCGUUAUCCGGAUUAUUGGGUUUAAAGGGUGCGUAGGCGGGCAUUUAAGCCGGCGGUCAAAUGUCGGGGCUCAACCCCGGCCUGCCGUCGGAACUGGGUGCCUUGAGUGGGCGAGAAGUAUGCGGAAUGCGUGGUGUAGCGGUGAAAUGCAUAGAUAUCACGCAGAACCCCGAUUGCGAAGGCAGCAUACCGGCGCCCGACUGACGCUGAGGCACGAAAGUGCGGGUAUCGAACAGG